UCCACCGACUUUGCAUUCUAGAAAAUUCCAAGUACUACAUAAGCCUGAACAGUUACAUGAAAACCCUAGCCUAAACCCUAUUCGUACGGCCUCUGCAUUUCCAUCCCUUACUCAUCUUAAUCUUCUGACCAAAUCUAUGAGAUAAAACCGGCAAACUACAGACUCAGAAUUUGAUCGUGAGUCGUGGUUCAAUUGACGAAAAUUCGGAUCAGUGUGAUACGGAGGAAGAAAGGCAGAAGCUUUUGAAGAAAGAUUUCACGGAUCUACUUGCUGGUGGUCUUGAUAUUAUUGCUUUUGGAGAUCCAGGGGCAAAUCCAUAUUGGGGCAAAGGGGUCACUUGGCCUCAUGGCAAUUAGAAAACCCCAUGACAGCCGCAGAUAUUACUCCCUGGAACCUUGGGUGGCAGGGCAGGAAUGCCCAUAAGGUGUUUGUCAAAAUGCCUUGAGCCUUGGGUGGCUGGGCAGGAAUUUACAGUUCUUUGUCAAAAUGCCUCAAUGAAGGCUGUGCUGUGCUAGGCAGCAGGCAGGUCCUGUUCAAGACAGCAGUUUGGUUCAAUUAUAUUAGCAACAGAAUACCAACCAAACUAGUACAAAUUUCGUCAAGCUACCAUUUAACAAGUAGAAGUGGAGCUGAUGAGUGCAGCAUAUUUUAAUUAAGGAGGCAAUGGAAAUUCUCUGAAGCUUGUACUUUCAAUAGAUUAGUGUACAAGUUUGUGCGGAUUAGAUUCAGGCUUGUUGUCUUUUUU